rnacentral:rRNA from 1 species
GACGGGGGGUGCAAGCGUUAUCCGGAAUCACUGGGCGUAAAGCGUCUGUAGGUGGUGAUGCAAGUCACUGGUGCAAAAGUCUGGCUCAACCGGAGGAAAGCCAGUGAAACUGCAUGACUAGAGUGUGGGAGAGGUAGAAGGAAGUCCCUGAGUAGCGGUGAAAUGCGUAGAUACAGGGAAGAACACCGGAGGCGAAAGCGUUCUACUGGAACACAACUGACACUGAGAGACGAAAGCUAGGGGAGCGAAUGGG